rnacentral:rRNA from 1 species
AUUGAACGCUGGCGGCAUGCCUUACACAUGCAAGUCGAACGGUAACGGGCCUUCGGGUGCCGACGAGUGGCGAACGGGUGAGUAAUACAUCGGAACGUUCCCGAUCGUGGGGGAUAACGAGGCGAAAGCUUUUCUAAUACCGCAUACGAUCUACGGAUGAAAGCAGGGGACCGCAAGGCCUUGCGCGGACGGAGCGGCCGAUGGCAGAUUAGGUAGUUGGUGGGAUAAAAGCUUACCAAGCCGACGAUCUGUAGCUGGUCUGAGAGGAUGAUCAGCCACACUGGGACUGAGACACGGCCCAGACUCCUACGGGAGGCAGCAGUGGGGAAUUUUGGACAAUGGGCGCAAGCCUGAUCCAGCCAUGCCGCGUGCAGGAUGAAGGCCUUCGGGUUGUAAACUGCUUUUGUACGGAACGAAAAGCCUUCUUUUAAUACAGGAGGGUCAUGACGGUACCGUAAGAAUAAGCACCGGCUAACUACGUG